rnacentral:rRNA from 1 species
AGAGUUUGAUCAUGGCUCAGGACGAACGCUGGCGGCGUGCUAAUACAUGCAAGUCGAGCGAGCGGAACCAACAGAUUUACUUCGGUAAUGACGUUGGGAAAGCGAGCGGCGGAUGGGUGAGUAACACGUGGGGAACCUGCCCCUAAGUCUGGGAUACCAUUUGGAAACAGGUGCUAAUACCGGAUAAUAAAGCAGAUCGCAUGAUCAGCUUUUGAAAGGCGGCGUAAGCUGUCGCUAAGGGAUGGCCCCGCGGUGCAUUAGCUAGUUGGUAAGGUAACGGCUUACCAAGGCGACGAUGCAUAGCCGAGUUGAGAGACUGAUCGGCCACAUUGGGACUGAGACACGGCCCAAACUCCUACGGGAGGCAGCAGUAGGGAAUCUUCCACAAUGGACGCAAGUCUGAUGGAGCAACGCCGCGUGAGUGAAGAAGGUUUUCGGAUCGUAAAGCUCUGUUGUUGGUGAAGAAGGAUAGAGGUAGUAACUGGCCUUUAUUUGACGGUAAUCAACCAGAAAGUCACGGCUAACUACGUGCCAGCAGCCGCGGUAAUACGUAGGUGGCAAGCGUUGUCCGGAUUUAUUGGGCGUAAAGCGAGCGCAGGCGGAAAAAUAAGUCUAAUGUGAAAGCCCUCGGCUUAACCGAGGAACUGCAUCGGAAACUGUUUUUCUUGAGUGCAGAAGAGGAGAGUGGAACUCCAUGUGUAGCGGUGGAAUGCGUAGAUAUAUGGAAGAACACCAGUGGCGAAGGCGGCUCUCUGGUCUGCAACUGACGCUGAGGCUCGAAAGCAUGGGUAGCGAACAGGAUUAGAUACCCUGGUAGUCC